rnacentral:rRNA from 1 species
UUAGCUUCAGCGAUGGAUCGGUUGAUUCGCGUAUCGAUGAAAAACGCGGCUAGCUGCGUUAUUUACCACGAAUUGCAGACGCUUAGAGUGGUGAAAUUUUGAACGCAUAGCGCCGUUGGGUUUUCCCUUCGGCACGUCUGGUUCAGGGUUGUU